rnacentral:lncRNA from 1 species
UUGAGUUUGAUGUGAGUUUGAGGGAAGCAAGACAAUCUUUGCUUCAGCUUUUAUCUUCAUUGUUGAGUAUAGAUAAAGGUCACAUAAAUAACUUCUUUCUGAGUUGCUUUCUGUUUUUAAUAGGAGAGCCCAAAAGAUCUUUCUGUAGUAUCUUAUUUCCACUUUUUUUUCUUUCUUUCUUGAGCUUUGAAGACUCUCCAUAGUUUUCUCUAUCUGUGACAGCUUUCUUUGCGCAUAGCACUAUCUGUAGGAGCUGCUAUCACAAAU